rnacentral:lncRNA from 1 species
ACCCUUUGAUAGAGUCUCUUUCUAAAAAGAUGGGGGAGGCCGAGUCGUCAGAAGAGGGGUGGGGUGAGUCUCAACUCUUGAUGCCCUCCCCAACUUGGACAUGACGCAGGCCUUCCUCUUAGGCCUCCACAGCCCAGGGCACAAUUAAGCUAAUGCUCUCCACAGGCACAGGCUGCUCCCUGACUCAGCGGUGGGGGCAGGAGUUGGGGGUUCUGAAGCCUGGAGGAAGGUUGGCCUGGUCCCAAGCUGAACCCCAGGUCCUGCCACUCAAUGCCCAGGAGUGCUGAGCACAGCUGAGAGAGGAGAAUUAAUGACUGAGUGUACACUCUGAAUAGCUUCCAAUAAAAGCUGUUUUUUGACCUCAUAUAAAUAUUUUCAUUCUGGGAGGGGCCGGUGAAGUAGCCACAGACAGAGUCAUAGCAAGGACCCAGGCCAGUCCCCCCCC